GACGUAGGGUGCGAGCGUUGUCCGGAUUUAUUGGGCGUAAAGAGCUCGUAGGCGGCUCGUCGCGUCGACCGUGAAAACCCGCGGCUUAACUGCGGGCUUGCGGUUGAUACGGGCGGGCUAGAGUGUGGUAGGGGAGACUGGAAUUCCUGGUGUAGCGGUGAAAUGCGCAGAUAUCAGGAGGAACACCGAUGGCGAAGGCAGGUCUCUGGGCCACUACUGACGCUGAGAAGCGAAAGCGUGGGGAGCGAACAGG
rnacentral:rRNA from 1 species